AUGUGAACGAUCCGAUUAUUGCUCUUGAUGGUCAGGAAUUGGAUGGGAGACCAAUCAGAGUGAAUGUUGGAGAGGAAAGGCCUAGACGCAACUCCUAUUGAGUGGUAACUUGAGAGUAAUCUUCCAUGUCCGACUGAUUGAGUUCCCUUUAUACAGUGUCAAUUUUUACCUUCUUUGGCAGCUGGUUUCAGAUUGAAUUUGCAGAUCUUAUUGUUAUUAAUUNNAUGUCUAGAUGAAAAUGAUUAAAAUUUACAAUUCAAACUCUAGGGAUUUUGGAAAAACUCUUCAUUUUGUUUUCUCAACCGUUUUGUUUGCUAUUGAUGCUCGACAAUAUAAUGUUCCUUUGAAUCUUCUGGUAAAUAGAAACUGAAACGAGCAUAUUUAAGACUGA